UACAUGGGGUGCAAACGUUGCUCGGAAUUACUGGGCGUAAAGGGCUCGUAGGCGGCCAACUAAGUCGGACGUGAAAUCCCCAGGCUCAACCUGGGAACUGCGUCCGAUACUGGAUGGCUUGAAUCCGGGAGAGGGAUGCAGAAUUCCAGGUGUAGCGGUGAAAUGCGUAGAUAUCUGGAGGAAUACCGGUGGCGAAGGCGGCAUCCUGGACCGGCAUUGACGCUGAGGAGCGAAAGCCAGGGGAGCAAACGGG
rnacentral:rRNA from 1 species